AAUGCAGUUGUUGGGUCAUAUGGCAAGAGGAUGCUUAAUUUUGCAAAAAAGUGCCAAACUGUCUUUCAAAGGGGCUGUACCAUUUUGCAGUCCCACUAGCAAU
rnacentral:pre_miRNA from 1 species